UACGUAGGUGGCAAGCGUUGUCCGGAAUUAUUGGGCGUAAAGCGCGUGCAGGCGGUCCUUUAAGUCUGAUGUGAAAGCCCACGGCUCAACCGUGGAGGGUCAUUGGAAACUGGGGGACUUGAGUACAGAAGAGAAGAGUGGAAUUCCACGUGUAGCGGUGAAAUGCGUAGAGAUGUGGAGGAACACCAGUGGCGAAGGCGACUCUUUGGUCUGUAACUGACGCUGAGAAGCGAAAGCGUGGGGAGCGAACAGG
rnacentral:rRNA from 1 species